GACGAACGCUGGCGGCGUGCUUAACACAUGCAAGUCGAACGGAAAGGCCCUGCUUUUGUGGGGUGCUCGAGUGGCGAACGGGUGAGUAACACGUAAGUAACCUGCCCUUGACUUUGGGAUAACUUCAGGAAACUGGGGCUAAUACCGGAUAGGAGCUCCUGCUGCAUGGUGGGGGUUGGAAAGUUUCGGCGGUUGGGGAUGGACUCGCGGCUUAUCAGCUUGUUGGUGGGGUAGUGGCUUACCAAGGCUUUGACGGGUAGCCGGCCUGAGAGGGUGACCGGCCACAUUGGGACUGAGAUACGGCCCAGACUCCUACGGGAGGCAGCGGUGGGGAAUAUUGCACAAUGGGCGGAAGCCUGAUGCAGCAACGCCGCGUGCGGGAUGACGGCCUUCGGGUUGUAAACCGCUUUCGCCUGUGACGAAGCGUGAGUGACGGUAAUGGGUAAAGAAGCACCGGCUAACUACGUG
rnacentral:rRNA from 1 species